AUCUUUAGUGCAAUUAACCUUCAGAGGAUGCGUUUAAGCAUUACACAAUUCUGCGGAAUAUUUAAAAUUCUUUAAUUUCCAAUCCUUCUAUUUAUCCAUCGGAAUUUUUUUAUAUUAGCUAAUUCCAAAAUUUGUGUUUUGAAGAAGUAGGUAUUUGUACCUUAAUGGUGAUGAACGAAUUCGAAGGGGAAACUAUCACGAGGCCUAGAAAAAAGAUCAUCCAUAGCAUCAUCAGCAAGAGCUCCAUUGUAGAACUCUUUUUCUGUGUCACGCUUCCUCUCUCACCUUUGAUAUCUUUGUGUCUCUCUCUCCGGCGAUCUAUCUCUUUUACCGGCCGGCGAUCUUUCUCACUAGCGAUAUCUCUCACUCUCUCCGUUUCUUAGUCGAACCCACACACCUCUCUCUCUCUCAAUAGAUUCAUCUUUUUCUAGCUCAGCCAUUGAUCAGUCUCUCUCUUCACCUCCUUCUUAAUUUAGUUGUGUUUCUAUUUUUCAGCAUGUCUCGUUCGCUUCCCAGUUUUGUUUUUUCAGACCUUUUAGGGCAAAAUAAGUG